rnacentral:rRNA from 1 species
UACGUAGGUCCCGAGCGUUGUCCGGAUUUAUUGGGCGUAAAGCGAGCGCAGGUGGUUUAUUAAGUCUGGUGUAAAAGGCAGUGGCUCAACCAUUGUAUGCAUUGGAAACUGGUAGACUUGAGUGCGGGAGAGGAGAGUGGAAUUCCAUGUGUAGCGGUGAAAUGCGUAGAUAUAUGGAGGAACACCGGUAGCGAAAGCGGCUCUCUGGCCUGUAACUGACACUGAGGCUCGAAAGCGUGGGGAGCAAACAGG